rnacentral:rRNA from 1 species
AGUCGGACGGCAGCACAGGGAAGCUUGCUUCUCGGGUGGCGAGUGGCGAACGGGUGAGUAACAUAUCGGAACGUACCGGGUAGCGGGGGAUAACUGAUCGAAAGAUCAGCUAAUACCGCAUACGUCUUGAGAGGGAAAGCAGGGGACCUUCGGGCCUUGCGCUAUCCGAGCGGCCGAUAUCUGAUUAGCUGGUUGGCGGGGUAAAGGCCCACCAAGGCGACGAUCAGUAGCGGGUCUGAGAGGAUGAUCCGCCACACUGGGACUGAGACACGGCCCAGACUCCUACGGGAGGCAGCAGUGGGGAAUUUUGGACAAUGGGCGCAAGCCUGAUCCAGCCAUGCCGCGUGUCUGAAGAAGGCCUUCGGGUUGUAAAGGACUUUUGUCAGGGAAGAAAAGGCUGUUGCCAAUAUCGGCGGCCGAUGACGGUACCUGAAGAAUAAGCACCGGCUAA